rnacentral:lncRNA from 1 species
CAUUCUCAAUCAGUUUACCUCCUAUUAAAAUUUCCUAUACUUCUUAAUUAUUCAAAUAAAACUUCCAACAAGGGUUCCACAGUGAUCCUUAGUUCAAAUGCUUACCUUUGAUACCAAAAUAAUCAAAUAUUCUCCCUAUUGACAAAGAUAUGCAGCUAUGCGUAGGAACUAUUUUGUUUAAAAUAUGUACUACUUUCUAUCCUAUACCGGGCCUGAAUUAGUGGUUCUAUACCUUAUACAUCUUGCCCG